rnacentral:rRNA from 1 species
AGUGAACGCUGGCGGUAGGCCUAACACAUGCAAGUCGAACGGCAGCACAGUAAGAGCUUGCUCUUACGGGUGGCGAGUGGAGGACGGGUGAGGAAUACAUCGGAAACUACUUUUUCGUGGGGGAUAACGUAGGGAAACUUACGCUAAUACCGCAUACGACCUACGGGUGAAAGCAGGGGAGCUUCGGACCUUGCGCGAUUGAAUGAGACGAUGUCGGAUUAGCUAGUUGGAGGGGUAAAGGCCCACCAAGGCGACGAUCCGUAGCUGGUCUGAGAGGAUGAUCAGCCACACUGGAACUGAGACACGGUCCAGACUCCUACGGGAGGCAGCAGUGGGGAAUAUUGGACAAUGGGCGCAAGCCUGAUCCAGCCAUACCGCGUGUGUGAAGAAGGCCUUCGGGUUGUAAAGCCCUUUUGUUGGGAAAGAAAAGCAGCAGGUUAAUACCCCGCUGUUCUGACGGUACCCAAAGAAUAAGCACCGGCUAACUUCGUG